UACGGAGGGGGCAAGCGUUAUUCGGAAUUAUUGGGCGUAAAGGGCGCGUAGGCGGCUAGAUGUGUCAAAGGUGAAAUCCCUCGGCUCAACUGAGGAACUGCCUUUGAAACUGUCUGGCUUGAGGCCGGGAGGGGGUAGCGGAAUUCCCAGUGUAGCGGUGAAAUGCGUAGAUAUUGGGAAGAACACCGGUGGCGAAGGCGGCGACCUGGUCCAAGACUGACGCUGAGGCGCGAAAGCGUGGGGAGCAAACAGG
rnacentral:rRNA from 1 species